GCAGUGGCACCUCCUACGAUCUAGAAACCUGUUUACACAAGGAAGCUCAGUCUUCAAGCCCGAUCUCAGGUGGGAAAUUCGGUGGAACACAGCGGUAUAGCAGUUCCCUUCCAGGUCCUGCACUUCCCCCCGCAACACUUUUCUGCAGUGAGAGAGAGGCCCGCCUAUAAAAGAGUGAAACAUAUCCGUGAGGACGGCACCGGGGACACCGGGCCGCUCUGUUGGUUGCGGUCUCUCUUGUGCCAAGCAAUUGGGUUGCAGAGGAGGCCUUAGUGGGGGUGGAAGACGUUGCUAUCAGAAAUCUACACGGUGCUGAACGGGCCGGUGGCUUCGUGGGCACUGUGAUGGGAAUGGCAGCGGUUGUAAACCCGUUUGACUCGGGAGUCUGUUCUGUUGUGGGACAGAACUCUCGAAGUCUGUUGAGUGCAAUCGUAGGACGCUCGUGUAACUUCUGUUGCACUAGUGAACCCGAUACCGAUUAUUGCCGUUGC
rnacentral:RNase_P_RNA from 2 species